CCUGUUUUCUUACGGCGUCACCAGAUUUUCCUCGGAGCGGUUGGUGUGUCGUACGUGAGCGCAUUUUGGUGACUUUUCUUCGUAACUUAGCGCGAUUUCGUGCCGUAGAUUUUGGUCUACAUUGUUCUUGGAUCAGUAUUUGGGGCUCAUUCUACCGCUCGUAUAAGCUAGCUAUGCCGAAAUUGUAAGUUUGUUUUGAACGGGUUUGGUUUUAGAAGAUGGACGCCAUGAUUGUGUCGCAUUCGUCUGUUUUUCUGACGGCAUUUUGCCCGAUUUCUUGUACUUCUAAACCGCUAUGGCGCCGUAACUUGACUACAUUGUCGAUUUUAGCCAUGUACGAUUCAUUUUGGAACUCUAGGCCAGUAUUAGGCCCGUUUAGGUAGAAUUUUCUGGAACUUGGUUCAAGUUGUUUACGCGGAGAGGAAGGUCAUUAUGUAUGCACGUCACGCUCUUUGUCUGGGACUACGUCAUGACUACGUCACGCCAAGGGAGGGGCUUAUGGCCGGAGGGUGGGGAAAAUGUUGCUGUGUCUUUUCCGAGUGCCUCUCAAUGUAGGGCCCGUCAGCUCAGCGUCCCAUCCUGGCAGUUUCUGGGGGCGAGAGGCAGUCCGGCGGCGGCAGCAGGAAAUUCGUAAGGUAUUUUACCGGGAGCGCUUUUAUGAACUUUGUUUUUGUUUGCGUUAUGCUUAUAUUACAGCGUCACUGGGCUAAGACCAUAUUAGGAGGUGGACGCUAUGUCACCAGACCAAUUUGCAUGUCAUGAUACUUAGCAGUAGGUUUAUAAGUGUAGUGCAUUAUCAUUUGUGCGUACUUAACUUUAGUGUGAAUUAUCUUGAAUACUCUGAUAACAAAAUACAAAUGUGUAAUGCUUAUAAGAGUGAGAUAAUGUGGUGGGUGCAGUUUGAGAUAUGUAAUGAAUAAAAAAAAAUUAUGCAUAAAUUAUGAUAUGUUUUUACAUAAAUUAUGAUACGUUUUUACAAGUGAUAAGUGUGAAAUGGCUUGAUUAAGCUUGAAGUUGAUGAGGUGUUGAUUAGUGUGAAAAGUAAAUGGUGUUACGGGUGAUUACUAAUUAAGUGCUGUCUACGCACAAAUGUGAGGUUGGUAAUUAGGGUUUGUUUGCAAAGUUGUGUGUGGUUGAUUGCAUAUAAAUAUAUUAGAUUUGUUUGGUUUUGAUAUAGGUAGAUAUUUUAAUUUAAACAAUACUUCUCAGGGAUAAGAUUUUUGGGUUUGCAAUGUGUGAAAAUUGCGAGGUGUUGGGCCAAAAGAAAAUGAUUGCAAAGUGUGGAGCUGGAAAUAAUUUGUGAGGUGCUGGGCUGAAAGAAAAAGAAAGACAGGCCAAAGUGUCAUGUGUUUGGUUGAAAGAAAGAUAGAUCAAAGGUGUUAUGUGUUCUUAAUGAUUGAAGUCAGUGUUGUAUGCUAUUGCAAGUUGAACAAAUUAUUUUGGGAAUGUGGGGAUAUCUUAAUUUAAUCUUACAGAGAUGCCUUUGCUUUAGAAAAUUCAGCCAAGAGAACCUAACCAGACCAGGUGAUGUCAUCUUUCAACUAAACCGGAUAAUGACAGCAUAAAUCGAUCGUCUCCGCAGCUAGUGUGACCUCCGCUUAGAAAGACUCGUUAGCUUGGGCUAGAAUGUUUAAAGGUCAGGUUAGUCAAGGUGAAUCGAGCACCCUUUUUUAUUUUUUCUAACUACAAAGCAAAUUGCCUGUAUUUUGCAUUACUGAUAGGUCAUGCUAAUAUAAAGAUUAACUGUUUGAAAGGUUUUGUCUUCUUGAUUGUUUUUUGUGUGUCGGGGAGGGGGGUGUAGUUAACCACAUGGUUUUUACCUUUCUGUCCCAGCCAAAUAGUACAAGGUCUGCCAGCAAGAUAAAGAGUUGUCCCAAGAGAGGCCCUCCCAAGAAAGGCCCAGGGAGUAAAGGUCCCCUUGGAGGCAGAGGUAAAGGAGAUAAGGUACCUUAGAAGUUGGAACAUUGCCAAGAAAGGAGCUAGCGGUGGGGAGAGGCACCAUAUGGCCAAGGUAAAUGCCACCCAGUGAUCAUAAGGAGCUUAGGAAAAGGCAGCAAGCUCAGGUUGAGUGAAGACUAGUGCCAGGAGGUUAGUGUGUGCAGUCAGGGAAGAGAGCCAAAUUUCCAGUGAAGGACGUGUGAAGCCAAAAAUUGCAUGCAGAUGCCUACAAGUCAAGCAGCUCAUUAUAAUUGCUCAAGCCUUCGUCAACAUUUGUGCUACUCCAAAUCAUCACAUCUCUGUAGAAGAACUAAAAUCUGUGCCAGUUGUCACUAUGGUGUGUCUUCCUUCAAGUGAAAAAAUUCCUUCUAGAAGCCAUCCUCAUCUUUUGGACUAAUGGUAAAACUGCUGCCAUGUAAGUGUUGUUGCUUUGCAUGUUUGCUGGUGUGUUGUCUACCUAUCUCUCAAGCAGCCCAGGACUAGAAGAGAAGACAAGCAGCUAAAGUAAGCAGACUUCAUAACAUUCCAUUGCAAGUGGACGUGAAA